rnacentral:sRNA from 1 species
CUCUGGGUCCAACUCCCAUCCGUGUCUAUCUGUACCCUGUUGCUUCGGCGUGGCCACGGCCCGCCGAAGACUAACAUUUGAACACUGUCUGAAGUUUGCAGUCUGAGUUUUUAGUUAAACAAUAAUUAAAACUUUCAACAACGGAUCUCUUGGUUCCGGCAUCGAUGAAGAACGCAGCGAAAUGCGAUAAUUAAUGUGAAUUGCAGAAUUCAGUGAAUCAUCGAGUCUUUGAACGCACAUUGCGCCCCCUGGUAUUCCGGGGGGCAUGCCUGUCCGAGCGUCAUUGCUGCCCUCAAGCACGGCUUGUGUGUUGGGCUUCCGUCCCUGGUAACGGGGACGGGCCCAAAAGGCAGUGGCGGCACCAUGUCUGGUCCUCGAGCGUAUGGGGCUUUGUCACCCGCUCCCGUAGUCCAGCUGGCAGCUAGCCUCGCAACCAAUCUUUUUAACCAGGUUGACCUCGGAUCAGGUAGGGAUACCCGCUGAACUUAAGCAUAUCAAUAAGCGGAGGAAA